UCUCAGAAGUUUAUCAAAAGAAGCUUCAGGCACAUACUCAUGUCAAAAUGAAGACAUCAGAUCUUGACAGUGAUGAAAAAGACAAUGUAUUGAGACGCAGAGACAGCAGGAAUGUUUGAGAGUUCAGCAAAAGACACUUUAAAUAUUUGACUCUGAGCUGUGGCAAGAUGCAUGGAGAAAUUUACAGUAUACUGUGUAAAGUUUUAGACAUAUUACUGUAAAGUGAAAAACAAAGCCACAACAGGUUUAUUUUAACAGUAAAUCUUUAUAAAUCAAAUCAAUAUUGCUCACCCUUUUAAAACAGCUUUUGUCAUAGUUUUUAUAUUUUGUGAGAAUGCUCACAUACACAGUACUGUAUAUUUACAUGAACUGAAUAAGACAGAAGCCAAAAACCUUACUAAAUAAAUAUGUCUGUAGCAAUUAAUGUUCACUGGCAUAACUGAAGGGUUAAAUGCUUAUCAAAUGAGCUUUAUUGUUUUAUGAGACCCCAAAUGACCCCCGACCUCAAUGUGAUUUAUUUUUUCAACACCUUCUUUAAACCAUGAGUACAUCUGUGAUAAAAUAAUAUUUUGCAUUA